GACGAACGCUGGCGGCGUGCUUAACACAUGCAAGUCGAACGGAAAGGCCUUGUUUCAGUGGGGGGCGGGAGUGGCGAACGGAUGAGUAACACGUGAGUAACCUGCCAUUGACUUUGGGAUAAUUCUAGGAAACUGGGGCUAAUACCGGAAAGGAGCGCCUGCUGCUUGGUGGGGGUUGGAAAGUUUCGGCGGUGGGGGAUGGACGCGCGGCUUAUAAGCUUGUUGGUGGGGUAGUGGCUUACCAAGGGUUUGACGGGUAGCGGGCCGGAGCGGGUGACCGGCCACAUUGCGACUGAGAUGCGGCCCAGACGCCUCCGGGAGGCAGCAGUAGGGAAUAUUGCACAAUGGGCGGAAGCCUGAUGCAGCAACGCCGCGUGCUGGAUGACGGCCUUCGGGUUGUAGACCGCUUUCGCCUGUGACGAAGCGGGAGUGACGGUAAUGGGUAAAGAAGCACCGGCUAACUACGUG
rnacentral:rRNA from 1 species